CGGAGCUGAGCGAGUUGCAGAGCUAUUAGCUCGGCUGCAGCAGACACUGACCUGCUAGUGGAGGCAAAACGGGCGCAGGAGUCCCGGCGGCAGUGCGGACAUCCGCUCACCUCCACUGUUUAUAUCCGGCGCACAUGAAUGGUGAGAGCGGCUGAAGAAAGGCAGACACAGACAAGAACAGACAGACCAGCAGUCAAAGAAAAUCCUCUCAGAAUCCAGUGGGAGAGAUUUAACUACACUUAGUAACAGCUAGAACAGGUUCAACUGAGCUGGAAUAUCAGACCUGGACACACAUCCCUUCAGUUUGGGCAAAACUGGAAGUCUGAGAAGACGUGCUGUGCAGGGACUGUUUGGACUCCCAUGGGCUGUACACACUAACACUGGAGGGAAAACUCAGGAGAUAAAC